AAUAGAAUCAGCCGUUUCUCCAAGGAGCUCCAAUUUCCUUAUAAUUAGUUUCCUUUUAUUAGAAAGCAAGAUUGAUCACUGCUGCUGCUGCUGCUGCUGCUGCUACUGGGUGCAGUUGCUUCCAGGACUCCUCAGCUGACAGGGCAAGCUGCUGCUGCUUCUGAAUUAUGAGGCUUGCCAUGCUUCACUUCUUCAGUGGAUAGCUUUAUUUCUGCAAAGUGCAUAGAAUGAAGUGGUAGCCUGCAGGCACUGAAGGACCUAAAUGAAUGUGCACCAGAGUGUUUUUCAAAUUGCAUCAAAGUGACCAGGUGCAUCAAAGUAUACCCUAGGAAAACAGGACAGACCCCAACUUUCCCUGGUAAAUCCUGCCUCCCAAUACAACCUGUCAUUUGAAACUAUCAUUCAAGAUAAUUGGACUCUUUAACCAAGGGGGCAAGUAUGUGAUACAAUGUAGGCUAACUCACACUCUCUCUUAGGACUUUGAAUCUUUGAGAGUGUCUUAGGGAAAGAAAUAGUUGGAGGCUUCAUUCCUAUGGUCAUGUCCUGAAGAGACUAUCCAACCAGCCAAAUGACAGGUUUUGCCUUCCCUACCUUCUCUGUCCUGCAAGAAGCUAGUUAUUCAAGUUUCCUUUGAUUCUGUGAGCUAUUUCAUCCCAUAUCUUGCCAAUAAACUCAUUAAAAAAUGUGGUUUAUGCUGUUUAAAAACCAAAGAAUUCCUGAUUUGGUAUCAUUUAAUAUGAACAGUUCUUUCUGGCCCUCCUUAGUUUUCUCCUACCUUUAUCCUCUCCUCAUAUAAAUUUUACUCUCCUUUUUGUCAUUCUUUACAUCUUCCUCUAGGGCAUAGCGAUUGCCAUCUGAGGAAGAUCCUGGGCUCAGCUGAGGCAGGCCUGCAUUUUCCCUUAUUACAGUAAUCACAGUGUGGGCAUUUGAAGAGCUAUCAUUUAUUAAGCAUCUGUUGUUCAGUUGCUAAGUCACAUCUGACUCUU